AAACUUUUGUAAUCUCAAAUCAGUACUCCAUUACCGACAAACUUUAUAUAAAGAAUAUUCAACACUACCCGUCACGUCUAAACUCGAAUCUUUUAAUAUAUACACUGCCGAGGAUAUCCAUGUUCGAGAUAAAACUAAAUAACGCUAGCAGUUUCGCGGAACUCGAAUUAAAGAUCACCUGCUCUGGUGCUAUAUUAAAUUAUAUAAAAUAAUUAUUUAUCUCAACAUAUUUUAUUUACAACAACUAUAUUUUUUUCACU
rnacentral:lncRNA from 1 species